GUGCACCAGUCGCGAAUAGUCUACAAUGGACGAAAGUCUGAUAGUGCGACGCCGUGUGUGCGAUUAAUUCCUUCGGGAUGUAAAGCACUUUUCUAUGAGAUAAAAGCUCUUUAGGUUAAUAGCUUAUUGAGACGGAUAUUAUUAUAGGAAUAAGCUCCGGCUAACUCCGUGCCAGCAGCCGCGGUAAUACGGAAGGAGCGAGCGUUGUCCGGAUUUACUAGGCGUAAAGGGCUAGUAGGCGACUAAUUAAGUUAUAUGUUAAAUCCCACGGCUCAACUGUGGUCCUGCAUGUAAUACUGGUUAGAUAGAGUACUGUAGAGGAAGGCAGAAUUCCUGGAGUAGCGGUGGAAUGCGCAGAUAUCAGGAGAAUACCAAAAGCGAAGGCAGCCUUCUGGGCAGUUACUGACGCUGAAUAGCGAAGGUGUGGGUAGCGAACAGGAUUAGAUACCCGGGUAGU
rnacentral:rRNA from 1 species